rnacentral:rRNA from 1 species
CCUACGGGAUGCAGCAGUAGGGAAUAUUGCUCAAUGGGGGAAACCCUGAAGCAGCAACGCCGCGUGGAGGAUGAAGGUUUUCGGAUUGUCAACUCAUUUUGUUAGAGAAGAUAAUGACGGUAUCUAAGGAAUAAGCACCGGCUAACUCCGGGCCAGCAGCCGCGGGAAUACGGGGGGUGCCAGCGUUACUCGGAAUCACUGGGCGUAAAGAGGGCGGAGGCGGGGGAGAAAGUCAGAUGUGUAAUCCUAUGGCUUAACCAUAGAACUGCAUUUGAAACUGUUAUUCUAGAGUAUGGGAGAGGUAGGUGGAAUUCUUGGUGGAGGGGUAAAAUCCGUAGAGAUCAAGAGGAAUACUCGUUGCGAAGGCGACCUGAUAGAACAUAACUGACGCUGAGGCGCGAAAGCGUGGGGAGCAAACAGGAUUAGAUACCCUUGUAGUC